CCAUGCUCUUACUUCAUUCUCUAAACAACAGAUAAAAAGAAAUGUCGACGGUGACAGAUUUCAUGAACCUCAAUCUCUCCACCAUCCAUGACAAGUUCAUUGCCGAAUACAUCUGGAUUGGUGGAUCAGGUCUGGACAUCAGAAGCAAAGCUAGAACUCUUAGUGGAUCAUUGGAUGACCCACAAAAGCUUCCAAAGUGGAACUACGAUGGAUCAAGCACUGGUCAGGCCCAUGGCCAUGACACCGAAGUCAUCUUAUAUCCUCAAGCUAUUUUCAAGGAUCCUUUCCGGAGGGGCAACAAUAUCUUGGUGUUGUGUGAUGCUUACAACCCAACGGGUGAUCCGAUCUACACAAACAAGAGGUUUGAAGCUGCCAAGAUUUUCAACCAUCCGGAUGUUGUUGCUGAACUCCCAUGGUAUGGGCUUGAGCAAGAAUACACCUUAAUGGAGAAGGACACCAAGUGGCCUUUGGGUUGGCCUCGAGGAGGCUUCCCAAAACCUCAAGGUCCUUAUUAUUGUGGGGUUGGUGCUGAAAAAGUGUUUGGGCGUGACAUUGUCGACGCACACUACAAAGCAUGUCUCUAUGCCGGGAUUAAUAUAGGUGGCGUCAACGCCGAGGUGAUGCCCGGUCAGUGGGAGUUUCAAAUUGGACCUUCAGUCGGGAUCACUGCUGCGGACGAGUUGUGGGUUGCGCGUUAUAUACUUGAGCGAGUCACUGAAAUUGCUGGAGUUGUCGUCUCGUUUGAUCCUAAACCGGUCCCGGGUGAUUGGAACGGAGCGGGUGGUCACACUAACUAUAGCACGAAAUCGAUGCGUGAAGACGGAGGAUACGAGGCCAUCCAAAAGGCUAUUGAGAAGCUUGGACUUAGGCAUGAAGAUCACAUAGCAGGUUAUGGUGAAGGCAACGAGCGUCGCCUCACUGGGAAUCAUGAGACCGCAGACAUCAACACCUUCUCAUGGGGAGUUGCGAAGCGUGGUGUGUCGAUACGGGUGGGGAGAGACACUGCUGAAGAAGGGAAGGGGUAUUUUGAGGAUCGAAGGCCUGGGUCGAACAUGGACCCGUAUGUGGUUACCUCUAUGAUUGCCGAAACAACCAUCUUGUGGAAGCCUUGAGAUUGUUUUGUGGGUUGGAAUAAUAACUAGCGUACUGUUUUUAGUCGUAAAUAAAUCGGGUUUGUUGUCCCUAUGUGAAAUUUGGUGAUUCAAAUGGAGUAGUUGGGCAUGAACUUGGCUAUUUGAAA